GAGUUUCUGCUGCGUGAGGACGCCGAAAUGAGUGUCCUGUCUGUUUGAGCGUGCUCUAGAAGUUUUAGAAGUCUGCAUUCAGCGUUCUAAUACUACCUUUCAUGUGAGAAAAACAUGUCAAAAACGAACCUCCAGUUAUGAAAGUGUUUUUCCAAGUUCUGCGCUCCGACGAUCUCCUUUCCAAUCCACUCCAGCAACUCGUCGUGCUUUGGCAGAUUCUUAUUGACAAUGUGCGCCCGGCAAGAUGGCGGCGGGAUGAGUUUCUGCGGCGUGAGGACGCCGAAAUGAGUGUCCUGUCUGUUUGAGCGUGCUCUCGAAGUUUCAAAAGUCUGCAUUCAGCGUUCUUAUACUACCUUUCAUGUGACAUAAGGAUUUCAAAAACCGGCCUCCAUUUAUGAAGUUUUUUUCCGAGUUCUGCGGCUCCUGCUGCUCUGCGCUCCGACGAUCUCCUUUCCGAAACACUCCAGCAACUCGUAGUGCUUUGGCAAGUUCUUCUUGACAAUGUGUGCUUUUCCUUGAAUUGUAUUUUGAUAUCGGUGGCUUGAUCUGUAGUGUACCCUUUGUAUACCGAUUUAUGUUAUUGUUAACCUGCAUGUUUCCUGUUGACUGAUGUUAUUGUGUAUGCUGCGGCUCCUGGUUCUCUGCGCUCCGACGAUCUCCGGCAAUUCAUUCUUGUCAAUGUGUGUUUUUUCUCACAUUUGAUUAUUGUUACCAGUGGCUUGAUCUGUAAUGUCCCGAUUCAGUGCUGGAUUUUAUUCUUGACCUGCAUGU